GGUAACAUUUCUAGCUUGCUAGAAGAUGACGAGUGGCGGACGGGUGAGUAAUGCUUGGGAACUUGCCUUUGCGAGGGGGAUAACAGUUGGAAACGACUGCUAAUACCGCAUAAUGUCUUCGGACCAAACGGGGCUUCGGCUCCGGCGCAAAGAGAGGCCCAAGUGAGAUUAGCUAGUUGGUAAGGUAACGGCUUACCAAGGCGACGAUCUCUAGCUGUUCUGAGAGGAAGAUCAGCCACACUGGGACUGAGACACGGCCCAGACUCCUACGGGAGGCAGCAGUGGGGAAUAUUGCACAAUGGGGGAAACCCUGAUGCAGCCAUGCCGCGUGUGUGAAGAAGGCCUUCGGGUUGUAAAGCACUUUCAGUUGUGAGGAAAAGUUAGUAGUUAAUACCUGCUAGCCGUGACGUUAACAACAGAAGAAGCACCGGCUAACUCCGUGCCAGCAGCCGCGGUAAUACGGAGGGUGCGAGCGUUAAUCGGAAUUACUGGGCGUAAAGCGCACGCAGGCGGUUUGUUAAGCUAGAUGUGAAAGCCCCGGGCUCAACCUGGGAUGGUCAUUUAGAACUGGCAGACUAGAGUCUUGGAGAGGGGAGUGGAAUUCCAGGUGUAGCGGUGAAAUGCGUAGAUAUCUGGAGGAACAUCAGUGGCGAAGGCGACUCCCUGGCCAAAGACUGACGCUCAUGUGCGAAAGUGUGGGUAGCGAACAGGAUUAGAUACCCUGGUAGUCCACACCGUA
rnacentral:rRNA from 1 species